rnacentral:rRNA from 1 species
UACGUAGGGUGCAAGCGUUAAUCGGAAUUAUUGGGCGUAAAGCGCGCGUAGGCGGCUACUUAAGUCGGAUGUGAAAGCCCCUGGCUCAACUGGGGAAGUGCACCCGAAACUGAGUGGCUUGAGUGCGAAAGAGGGUCGCGGAAUUCCUGGUGUAGCGGUGAAAUGCGCAGAUAUCGGGAGGAACACCAAUGGCGAAGGCAGCUCGCUGGGACGGUACUGACGCUGAGACGCGAAAGCGUGGGGAGCAAACAGG